rnacentral:rRNA from 1 species
UACGUAGGUGGCAAGCGUUGUCCGGAUUUAUUGGGUUUAAAGGGUGCGUAGGCGGUCCCAUAAGUCAGUGGUGAAAUCCUCUAGCUCAACUAGAGAUGUGCCAUUGAUACUGCGGGACUUGAGUGAAGUCGAAGUAGGCGGAAUUGACGGUGUAGCGGUGAAAUGCUUAGAUAUCGUCAAGAACACCAAUAGUGAAGACAGUUUACUAGACUUCAACUGACGCUGAGGCACGAAAGUGUGGGGAUCAAACAGG